GGCGCUAUGGUGUAGUGGCAGCACAUGGGAUUCUGAUAGUUACUAUCUUCCCAUAACCCAGGUUCGAACCCUGGUAGUGCCU